rnacentral:ncRNA from 1 species
AUGGAUUCCAUGAUGGGAUAAGUAAGCUUUGGAUAUGUUCUCCAGAGAGCCGGCGUUUGCUGAGAGCCGGCGUUCAGACCGAAGCCGAAGAUCCUCCCGGAGAAGCGAAGCUGAAGCGUUAGCGUUAACGUGCGUAAGCCGAGCCGGCAUGCCGAACGUUAUAUCGGCUCCUUGCUGACGGCGGAGUUGGGUUGAUGAAUAUCCGGUAGGCGAGGACUUGAGGAGUCGUUCAGGAGAGCUUGUUUCUCCAUGAGCGGAAUUAGGGUGGUCACGCGAGCAGAAGCCUCGUCCUUUUA